GGAAGGAUCAUUAACAAAUCCGUUGGUUGUUGUUUUCUUUUUGGGGGGGGGGGUGGUGCGGCUUUAUAUGUGCAAAAUGUGUAUUUUGUGUGGUAUAUAUAUUGCAUGAUUAUAUAUAUUGUGCAGAAUCGCCGUGCGCCCCACACCCAGACAGACACACACCACAUUUGCCCCGUGCGUCGCAAGACGCGCGUGACACAUAUUAUAUCGUUUGACCGAAUCAGCGUAAAAACAAAACAAACUUUUAACAAUGGAUCUCUUGGCUCUUGCAUCGAUGAAGAACGCAGUCAAGUGCGAAAAGUAAUGCGAUUUGCAUGCUCUGUGAGUCAUCGAAUCUUUGAACGCAUAUGGCACCUUGCAGGCCUCCUGGAAGGUAUGCCUGUUUGAGAAUCAUUCCACCAAUUCAUUUUGGGCCUUCACCAAUGAUCGCCCGGAAGACGCGCGCCCGCCGUGUCAGGUCGCAAGGCUAUUCGGCGGAGCAUCACAUUUUUAUGAUCUCAAAUCAGGCAAGACUACCCGCUGAACUUAAGCAUAUCAAUAAGCGGAGGAAAAGAAACUAACAAGGAUUCCCCUAGUAACGGCGAGUGAACCGGGAACAGCUCAAAUUUUAAAUCCGGGGCCACCGGCCCCCGAAUUGUAGUUUAAAGACGUGCACCGCAGGCCGGAUGCGCAGGCGUACAAGUCCCCUGGAAUGGGGCAUCACAGAGGGUGAGAAUCCCGUCUGGACGUCGGCGCGCCGGUCGCAUGGGGUGCGUCAAAGAGUCGAGUUGUUUGGGAAUGCAGCUCAAAACGGGUGGUAAAUUUCAUCUAAGGCUAAAUACUGGCAAGAGACCGAUAGCAAACAAGUACCGUGAGGGAAAGAUGAAAAGCACCUUGAAAAGGGAGUUAAACAGUGCGUGAAAUUGUUAAAAGGGAAACGAUUGAAGCCAGUACGGCGCCGCGAGGCGACCACUCAACGCUGGUUCGGACGGCCGCAGGAGCCCGGCAGAAAGGUGGCGUGGCGCAAGCCCCGCUUUAUAGUCUGCAGGCGCGGCGGCAGGCCGGACCUGUACCGGCGCGGUACCCUGCGGGCGGCACCGGGUGCAGGACCGCCAGACAGCACGCUGACUGGUGGUGCCCAUCCCGAACACCGUCCGCAGCACGCGCCCAGUUGGAGAAAUGGCUUUAAACGACCCGUCUUGAAACACGGACCAAGGAGUCUAACGUAUAUGCGAGUAUUUGGGUGGCAAACCCGGGUGCGCAAUGAAAGUGAGCAGUGGGAGGCCUUUGCCGGCCGCACCAUUGGCCGAUCUUGAUAUCUUUUGAUAGAUUUGAGUCAGAGCAUAUCUGUUGGGACCCGAAAGAUGGUGAACUAUGCCUGAAUAGGGUGAAGCCAGAGGAAACUCUGGUGGAAGCUCGUAGCCGUUCUGACGUGCAAAUCGAUGGUCAAAUUUGGGUAUAGGGGCGAAAGACUAAUCGAACCAUCUAGUAGCUGGUUCCCUC
rnacentral:misc_RNA from 1 species